AUGGAGGUAUGCCGUGAUGUCGCAUCUGCCCUAGCCAAGCUCCACCAAGUGAUCAGUGACGACAAGAAGCUGGAGACGAAGAUGAGAACUGGCCUCGGAGGAAUCUUACUCGAUAUGGUCCAUUUGAAUGCCUAUAUCGAGGAGAACUCCAAGGGGAGAGAGCAAGGGCCUGCACAUGAGGCUUGGAUCCUGCAGCUUCAAGACUUGGCGUACGACAUCGAAGAUUUCGUUGAUUCCCUCUACCGGAAGCCGAAAGAGAAGUUCCCUCUCCGGGCUGUGCGGAUGAUCACAGCAACUGAUCCCCGACCUGAGUACGGCGAUGAAUUCACAGCCUUCCAGGAGCGCACGGCGAGGCUGGAGGCGAACAAGCCGAGCUUCCCCGCAUGUACCGGCCAGAGUGGCGCAGCUGCUCAAGCUGCGUCUGUGCUCACUGCUGGUCCAUCCAUGUCCCCAAACGGAGGCACCCACACUCCUUCGACUUCAAGGUUGCUGUCCAGCGACCACGGCGCAUCUCCUCUUGUGGGCAUCGACCGUUUCAAGCAAGAUCUCGUAGAUCUGCUGAAGCAAGUCGAAGGUGAGCCCAGAGAGCUGAGGGUGAUCUCCAUCCUGGGGGUUCGCGGCGUCGGGAAGACUGCCCUCGCAAGGGCAAUCUACCAAGCCUGUGGCACUUUCGGCGACCAGGAGCCGUUCGACUGUCAUGCUAUGGUCAUGGUACGGCCUGACGACAAUGAGGCUUCCGGGAGCAAUGGCGCAGCGGAGCUCUUGAGGGAGAUCCUGAUACAAGUUGGCAACGUUGCAGGCCAGAUCUCCAAUACUUCUGCUGCCGAGUUGGAAAAUAUUCUGCGGAAAGACCUUGAGCACAAGAGGUACUUCAUUGUAAUUGACGGUUUGCAACAAGAAGAAGAUUGGGACUUCCUGAGGAAUGUCUUCCCUCAAAAUGAGAAAAGUAGCAGGAUAGUUGUGAGCACAAGUGUCCAACGUGUCGCUAAGUACUGCAGCUCCAGCACUAGUUUCGUGUACAAAAUGGAAGGUCUCGACAAUGAGGAGACUAAGAAACUGUUCUGGCAAGAAGUUGGAGUGCCGAAUGCUGCCGAUUCGUUGAAACAACUUGCACAAGGCAUCUGUAACGGAUGCCACGGUUUACCCCUCGCAGUGGUCAGUGCAGCCAAGUAUUUGAGACCCAUAUGGACAGAACUGAAACAGAGUGACUGGGACCGCGAGGCUCUCGCGCUAGGUAACCGCGUAACAGGCCAGGGCGAGCAACCUGCCUUUGCAGAACUGAAAAAAAUCCUCGUGGAAUGCUUCGACGGCCUAACCUGCCACCGUGUCAAGACUUGCUUGUUGUCUGUUACAAUGUUCCCCAAGGGUCACCCCAUCAAGAGGAAAAGCUUGUUCCGGCGGUGGAUAGCUGAAGGCUUCGUGGAGCAUGACGGGCGACUGGAUAAGAACGCCGCUUGCCAUGAACUCUUCCGGGAGCUGAUCGAGCGCCACCUCGUGGAGCCAGUGGAGAGCAGCAGAGAGAAUCUGGUGCCGGCAGCCGAAGUGAAGAUGUGUCAGGUUCACGGUGUGUUGCUUGACUUUCUUCUCAGCGAGUCCCUCCGUCGGAACUUCACCGACCUCAUCCGCAACAAUGUGCCUGUUCAAGCCGCACGCGGAGGCAUCCGUACCCGUCGGCUCGCCGUCCACACGGACGACGACUGCAGGGUUGGUGCACCCUGCGACGUUGACCUCAAACGUUACUCCUUCAUCAGGUCAUUGACGAUCGUGAACAGCGCCUUUAAGGACUUGCUGGAGAGCGAGUUCCUCCGGGUGCUGGAUCUGGAGGGCUCCAAAGGCAUCGACGAACAAGCGCUAUGCAAAAUCUUCCAGCUGAUACACCUCAAGUACCUCAGCAUCAGGGCCACGGACUGCUGCAGAAUUCCCAAGAGGAUCAGGAGGCUACAUCAGCUUGAGACUCUGGACGCCCGGGACAGCAACGUCAGGGAACUGCCGAUUGAGGUCCUCCUCCUGCCGCGGCUUGCCCACCUUUUCGGCGAGUUUCAACUCCCCAGUGAGCUAUGCAGCAAGAAGAAGAUCCCGAUUACAGGCAAGGACGUGGAGAGAGUUUUCAAGAGCAGCAACAGCAAGCUGGAGAGUGUGGCAGGGUUCCUCGUGGACGACCGCCAAGGUUUCCAACAUAUUAUGCUCCACAUGCACAAUCUCAAGAAGGUUAAGAUGCGGUGGGGGAGCACGAGCACGGCCCCAACCCAAGAUUUGUCUGGCCUUCUUGCCGACUCCCUGCGGAGGCGAUUUGGGCUCGAGUGCCUAUCAAUUGAUUUUGGUGAGCACUCGCUAGAUUUUAUGAACCCCCUGUCAUAUUCAGAAACUUGCUUGCUCAAAUCCGUCAAGCUGCGCGGAAGCCUCAGCGAGGGUCUACCGGGCUUCAUGUGCAAGCUGGAAUAUCUCUCAGAGCUUCAUCUUUUCUCCACUGGCCUUGACAGCGAGGCCCUCUCGGCCCUGGAACAACUAAGUCACUUGGAGCACCUGCAGCUCGAAGAGGUCAGUGACAGAUUCGGGAGCUGCACCUUCAGUUUGGCGGCAGGCAAAUUUGAGAGACUCAAGCGACUCAUCAUCGAUGCCCCCAAGCUUCCACAGGUGACUGUCGCAAAUGGAGCCAUGGCUGUCCUCACCACCCUUGAACUACUUUGCCAUGAUGUAACGGGGUUUGCAGCUACGGGCAUCUCACGCCUUGGAUCUCUUAGUGAGGUCGUACUACUCAAAAGUCUCAAAUCUUGUGACCCUGGCACCUGGUCGAGGUGGGAGGCGGAGGCCAAGAAGCACAAGAAAAGGCCAAGAAUUUCGUUCUGUGAUAGUAGCAACCGACAACAGCGACAAGCAGCUGCAGUGAGGCAGCAAAAGUCUGGAAGCAAGUGGAGGAUGCUACCACGUUAG
rnacentral:rRNA from 1 species